AAGCUGGACCACGGACUCUAACCGGGUACUGUAGCUAAAACCAGAUCACAGGUAAGCUGGACCACGGACUCUAACCGGGUACUGUAGCUAAGCCUGGACAUAAGUAAGCUGGACCACGGACUCUAACCGGGUACUGUAGCUAAGAAUCAAUAUCCAACCAUACGUCGCGGGAAAUAUCACCAAACUGAUAACCUCAAAUAAUCAUUUUAGUCCGACCCUCAUAUACCCCAAAUCGCCGAGGAAGUAUCCAAUAGUCAGUAAGCUAGACCACGGACUUUAACCGGGUACUAUAACCGAUAAAAAACAGGGCAUUAUAGAUACAAGGUCAUAAGUUGAGUUACCGCCUAGCUAAGGCUCAAUCUAUCAGACUCAAGUCUGCUAUAUCAGUCUACAAGGAGCUGACCGUCCGAAACGACGUCGGAAGAAGUUCUACUGCUCAACGACAUCCGAAAUCUCGCAAGUCUAUGGCAACACUAGUCUAAGCCUAGACUAAGGCCAAACAUACUUUAAAUCAAUAUUAUCAUAUACACCACAAGUUAUGGAUAUUCAAUAAUAUCAAGAGACAUGCUGUCAUAAUCCAACACUUUCCCGAAAUAAGGUCUAAGGCAGAAAUUAUUGAAAUUUAGCAUGCUCGACACCCGACCCACGCCAUACUCAAGCAAAUCAAUAAACAAAUGCCUAAACAUGCUCAAUCUCACGAGAGAAAGCCAUAGCCUACCUGAAAGCCGAUCACGCGUGCUCCAACUCACGGUACCGGAUCUUUUCCCCUCCGAACGGUCUCCAAAUGCUUCCCCACUAACAACAGGUUAAUCACCUCGUCAUUACUAAUAUAUUGACACUAAAAUUAUAGUUUUCGGAGACGGACCCAAAAUCGGGUCUAAAAUAGGAUUGUGGAGCCCACAAUUGGAAUCUCGAAAACGAAUCCGUGGAAACGUCCCAAAUACCUUACUAAACUAAUACCCCAAAAUUUAGCACAACCAGAUGCCUAAAACAUAGCAAAUCAGCCACAACAAUUAAAAUGGGCAGUCCCUUGAUCACCAAAUUCUGGGAAAACGAGACCCUUUCAACCCAAACAGAUUUUACCACGACGAUUCUUGCGAAAAACUCUACAAGUUAGCCACAAGAAUGACUCAAAACGGACCUAAGAUGAUCAAGAUCUCACAUUUCAAAAUUCAACAACAAUUCAAUCCGGCAAUCACCCUGUCAGUGGCUAAAAUCGAUUCCUUACCUCAAACGAAGCCUCCCCUCGCGUUUCUGAGAUCACCGCUAGAUUCCCCACGAAAUUCUCUUGAAGUUAGCCUUUUGAAGGACCUAAUUUGGACUCAAAAUGAAGGAGAAAUCUUAUGUUGAAGUUGAGGGAAAAAAUGGACGAAAAUCGUCCUAAAAUCUGGAAAUUUCCAGAUUUCCCUCCGCAGCCACGUGGCGUCGCGUGGCUCUGCCACGUCACCGCCGCGUCAAAAUUCUACAACCCUUCAAACUUAAAUUUCGAUGUUUCGGACUCGUUCGGAGUCGGAAAAAAUACAAACCAUAUAUGGAAUCUGAUUGGAAACGAUAUUUCGGACUCAACGGUGAAGGCGGAAUUUCCAUUUGAAGAUUGCUUCAAUGAAAAGUGGGUCCCACACCUAGUAUCAUUCGAAACUAAACUAGUUGUCAGAAUUUUCAUCUGAGCACGACUUCCAAUAAGGUUGACCAAAGUCAACUUUUCAAGUUNNNNNNNNNNNNNNNNNNNNNNNNNNNNNNNNNNNNNNNNNNNNNNNNNNNNNNNNNNNNNNNNNNNNNNNNNNNNNNNNNNNNNNNNNNNNNNNNNNNNUACGCCACCACUGCCUGGCGGGACCGUCUAACUGGUAUGCGGUGAAGUCUGGUCCUCUCAACUCCACUAAACCCAAAGUCUGUAGCCGCUCUUGGCAAGUAAUUAGAAACUCGUGGGCAUCAUCCCCCACUGCCCUAGAAAACCUCGGCGGUGAUAGUCUAAGGAACACCCCGAGCAUCUUCUGCUCCCAUAGUGGCAUGACUCCCUCCAAAUCGUCUGGCUGAACAACCGGUGCCGCUAGCUGCUGAACAACCGGUACCGCUGGUGUAGGCUGGCCCUGCGGUACUGGAACGGCUGGAGCUGGUGCCUGCUGCAUGCCACCAAUGACAGCUAGUAUUUGUACGAGCAUCGCCUGUAUAUCUGGAGCUGCCACAGGCUCGGGUGGUAGCUGGGCUGGUCCCAGGCCCAUCGGCUGCUGCUGUGUUGGAGCUGCUGGUGCUGGAACUCUGGCACGACCUCGAGGUCGGCCUCUACCCCUAGCUGGGGAUAUACCACGCGUGCGAGCCAUCCCUAAAAAAAAGAGUGGUACAAGUAAGAUUUUCAGAAACCGAUAAGACACACAAUGCACGACAGUGAUACAAAAGCGACACGUUCCUAAAGACAUCCUGUAGCCUCCCGAAGAUAAGUAACGGACGUCUCCGUACCGAUCUGCAGGACUCUACUAGACAUUAGCUCUGUACAAGUGAGACCGACGAACCUGGGGCUCUGAUACCAAUUUGUCACGACCCGAUUUAUCGAGUCAUGAUGGCACCUACUAUAACCCACCAGCAGGUAAGCCAACCCGUAACCCGGAACAACAAGUAAUGGGUCUGAGGGUAGAAAUUAAACAGGAGUAGGCAAAUAACAAUAUAAACAGACGGAAGCAAACCAAAAACAUAUAAACAAAUAAAGAUCCCUCCCAGAACCUGGAAGUCACUAGUACAGAGCUACUAACAAAAUGAGUACAAGUCCCAAAAGAAGUAACGGGUCUGAGGGUAGAAAUUAAACAAGAGUAGGCAAUUAACAAUAUAAACAGGCGGACGCCAACCAAAAACAUAUAUACAAAUAAAGAUCCCUCCCAGAACCUGGAAGUCACUAGUACAGAGCUACUACAAAAUGAGUACAAGUCCUAAAACCGGACAACAGAGACUGGACUGUCUCGAAAGGAAUAAGACAAGUCUAUAUAUACAGAUGGAGACUGAAAUAGUACAAAACGCCGUGUGCUCACCCCCGUCUCCGGAUAAGUCUACUCCAGGCUAGAUCAACGCUGGCUACUAGUGCUCGGACCUGCAUCACAAAAUAGAUGCAGAGCGUAGCAUGAGUACCAAAACAACAGGUACCCAGUAGGCAUCAUCGGCCGACUGAGCAAGAUAAGCAAAAGUGAACUGAAAUGCGAAUAAAGGGUCACAUCAAGUGCAAAGAGUAGUAAAUAGGGGGUAUGUACACGAGCGUACAGGCAACAAAGACAAGCAAUCUAACUAACUCCGCCGGGCUCCCAUAAACCCGACGGGUACGCUCGUGCACAAUAAAAGAAACCACCUGCACGGACCCCCAUAAGCCCGGCAGAUGGACCGGCAGUUGAAGUAAAAUAAUGGAGCUAGAAUGUCUAUCACAAUAUUACCAAUUUCCGGACUUUUAACUGAACCAUUCCCAAUUAUAUUCUAAGAUCUCAUUACGUCCCGGACUUUAACCGGAAUCUCUUCAACCUCCAAAACCUCAACCUACAGAUGAGAGUAAUCAAGACUAAACUGAAGCUUUAGUGAGGAAUCGGGAGUACAGCACGUGCAAGCUGGACCACGGACUCGAACCGGGUGCUGUAGCCAAAGGUCGGGCACGGGUGGGCUGGACCGCGGACUCGAACCGGGUACUGUAGCCAAAACCAGAUCACAGGUAAGCUGGACCACGGACUCUAACCGGGUACUGUAGCUAAAACCAGAUCACAGGUAAGCUGGACCACGGACUCUAACCGGGUACUGUAGCUAAAACCAGAUCACAGGUAAGCUGGACCACGGACUCUAACCGGGUACUGUAGCUAAAACCAGAUCACAGGUAAGCUGGACCACGGACUCUAACCGGGUACUGUAGCUAAAACCAGAUCACAGGUAAGCUGGACCACGGACUCUAACCGGGUACUGUAGCUAAAACCAGAUCACAGGUAAGCUGGACCACGGACUCUAACCGGGUACUGUAGCCAAAACCAGAUCACAGGUAAGCUGGACCACGGACUCUAACCGGGUACUGUAGCUAAAACCAGAUCACAGGUAAGCUGGACCACGGACUCUAACCGGGUACUGUAGCUAAAACCAGAUCACAGGUAAGCUGGACCACGGACUCUAACCGGGUACUGUAGCUAAAACCAGAUCACAGGUAAGCUGGACCACGGACUCUAACCGGGUACUGUAGCUAAAACCAGAUCACAGGUAAGCUGGACCACGGACUCUAACCGGGUACUGUAGCUAAAACCAGAUCACAGGUAAGCUGGACCACGGACUCUAACCGGGUACUGUAGCUAAAACCAGAUCACAGGUAAGCUGGACCACGGACUCUAACCGGGUACUGUAGCUAAAACCAGAUCACAGGUAAGCUGGACCACGGACUCUAACCGGGUACUGUAGCUAAAACCAGAUCACAGGUAAGCUGGACCACGGACUCUAACCGGGUACUGUAGCUAAGAAUCAAUAUCCAACCAUACGUCGCGGGAAAUAUCACCAAACCGAUUACCAUAAAUAAUCAUUUCAGUCCGACCCUCAUAUACCCCAAAUCGCCGAGGAAGUAUCCAAUAGUGAGUAAGCUAGACCACGGACUUUAACCGG
rnacentral:lncRNA from 1 species